rnacentral:rRNA from 2 species
CCGUCCGACUCCUACGGGAGGCAGCAGUGGGGAAUAUUGCACAAUGGGCGAAAGCCUGAUGCAGCUAUACCGCGUGUAUGAAGAAGGCCUUAGGGUUGUAAAGUACUUUCGUUGGGGAGGAAAAAUAAAUAGAUAAUACCUGUUUAUCGUGACGUUACCCAAAAAAGAAGCACCGGCUAACUCCGUGCCAGCAGCCGCGGUAAUACGGAGGGUGCAAGCGUUAAUCAGAAUUACUGGGCGUAAAGAGCUCGUAGGCGGUUUUUUAAGUCAGAUGUGAAAUCCCUGGGCUUAACCUAGGAACUGCAUUUGAAACUAAAAGACUAGAGUAUCGUAGAGGGAGGUAGAAUUCUAGGUGUAGCGGUGAAAUGCGUAGAUAUCUGGAGGAAUACCUGUGGCGAAAGCGGCCUCCUAAAUGAAUACUGACGCUGAGGUGCGAAAGCAUGGGGAGCAAACAGGAUUAGAUACCCUGGUAGUCCAUGCCGUAAACGAUGUCGACUUGGAGGUUGUUUCCUUGAGAAGUGACUUCCGAAGCUAACGCGUUAAGUCGACCGCCUGGGGAGUACGGUCGCAAGGCUAAAACUCAAAUGAAUUGACGGGGGCCCGCACAAGCGGUGGAGCAUGUGGUUUAAUUCGAUGCAACGCGAAAAACCUUACCUGGUCUUGACAUCCACAGAAUUUUUCAGAGAUGAAAAAGUGCCUUAGGGAACUGUGAGACAGGUGCUGCAUGGCUGUCGUCAGCUCGUGUUGUGAAAUGUUGGGUUAAGUCCCGCAACGAGCGCAACCCUUAUCCUCUGUUGCCAUUGGUUCGGCCAGGAACUCAGAGGAGACUGCCGGUUAUAAACCGGAGGAAGGCGGGGACGACGUCAAGUCAUCAUGGCCCUUACGACCAGGGCUACACACGUGCUACAAUGGUGUAUACAAAGAGAAGCAACUCUGCAAAGACAAGCAAACCUCAUAAAGUACAUCGUAGUCCGGACUGGAGUCUGCAACUCGAUCCC